GUCCAUAAGAUGGACCAGAAAAUGGACUCAGUCCUGCGGAUCCUGAAGGAGCAGUUCCCACCCAAGCCAGAGUCCAAACCCUCCAUCCGUAGGGUGACCAUCCAGAAACGCAUGGGUGCCAGCAUCGACGAAGGGCCCUGAUGUCACAGAGACCUUCACAUUGGGACAAUUAACGGAGCAGGAGUUCACAUAAACAGCCUCCUAUGUGUGGGGCGGUUUACAAAUAACAUUAGGACAAAACAACCACUGUGAGUGGGAUUCAGGGCGUGGAAAACAAGCUAACCAACCUCUUCCUCUGGAUGAUUGUAGGCCCCGCAUGGGUCCUUUGUCGUUACUUCAGUGUAGCUUACUCUUCUGCUAGUAUUGUGGGCCCUCAGUCUGUGCCUGCGGUCAUUUAUUUCACUAUAUUAGCCUCAUAAUCACACUUCUCUAUGAUGUAAAUUUAUGUGUGGCCUGUCACUGAGCUGCAUUCCUCCACUCCAAAUAUUAUUCCAAAGCUAACUAACCCCAUAAUGAAGUCGUAAUGCAAUCAAAGCACUCAAGUUCCCCAAAGACGUUGAAAAAAAAAAACUCUAAGUGCAGCCAUGGCAGAGGCAUUCCUCAAAUCCUUCUGAUUAUCUUGGCACCAUCCACCCACCCAGUACACAACAGGGCUAUUUCCAUAGACACAUAUCCAUCUAGCCUAACUGUACUUAGGCUGCAGCGGGUGUUUGUUAGUAGUGAUCGAAUAACAUGAGGAGGGAAGGGCAGAUUAUCUGUUGACUUUGCCCUGCAUUAGCGACCGGAAGGCUGGAGUAAAAGAAAUGGAACUAAAGAAAUGUGUCUGGCCUUGGUUGGGUGGCUAAGAUGGUGCUGAUUUACAGCGAGGUUAGAGCUAAUAAAAAUAGCCAAACUGCCGUGACAGGACCUGUGUUUUCUUGAGGUUUUUGCUGGGAGUUUUCAUAUCAUUAUCAAUCUCAAACUCUUUUAGCAGGACCACUAAUCACACCACCACCAGGGCUCUGCUUAAUAUCUCCUCAUACCCUCGUCAGGGCACUUAGACCGCUGGGUUCCAUUUGAAAUAAAUUUGCCCCAUUAAAGCUCUGAUUAUUUUUUCUCUCCUGAGCUAAUUAAGUGCUGAAUUCCUGGUAAGGGGAGAUUACCGACUGUGAGCGACUAAUGAAAAGAAACACUGGAAAAUGUGCAGAAUUUAAACAGUGAGCUUUGAGGAGCAGGCACUCUAAUUCUGUGUGAAAGGUUUGGAAAUAUCAGGCUACCACUGAGAGCGACUUUUUCACUUUGUUUCCACCCUCGUAGUAUGUAUCUGAGAGGGCGCUGAGGCGUGUAAGAAGAAGGAAAUAAGAAAUAACUCAACUAUGUAGCUAUUGUAUGAAAGGCCUCCCAUAAUUAUAGCAUGCACAUUCCUAAAAAGAAGGAUGCACACACAAAAGAGCGAUGAAGCGGAAAGAGAAGAGGCUUUUUCUCUGCACUUGCAUAUAUUUUCAUAUUUUUGCAGUGGUUGAAAAUUAGCUAUUAUUUAUCUUCUAUAAAGUGGUUGUAUUUUAAAAGCACUCUAAUUUUGUGACAGACCUCGAUACAUAUCCGCCUGUCUGUUCUCCUGUACAGUUUUAUAAGAGUUGUAAAUAGAAUCACUGCCUUAUUGUACUUACUGUAUUUAUUAUAAUGUGGAAAGAUCAACCUGGAACAUGUACGCUUGUUGGGGUGGUGAGAAACACAGUGAGGCUUCCGUUGUUCAAAUGGAUGGAAACGAUUGUAAAUGGUAUUCACACACACCCUCUGCACUGUAGCUCUGCUGUAAAUAAUAAAACUCCAUUUC
ensembl:lncRNA